AUGAAUAUGCUUUGCAGUAUUGCCAAAGUCAUUAUACCGAUGAGAGUGAGGUAAUUGUAAAGAUGUAUCGAUCAUUGGAUAAUGUAGAUUAUAUUCAAGUCAACAUUCCUGAUACUGAUACAGAGGAAGAAUGUGCUGAAGAUCUUAUAGAAAUACAGUCAAAACGUAUUGAAAAUGCUAGUAAGCCUGCACAAUAAAAUAUUGAUUCCAGUGAUAAUGAAAAAAUGGAUAUUUCUAGCGUUGAUGAUUCUCAAGCUAGUUGCAAUUUAAGUUCGCAGAAGUUAAAAUCUAAAAUUCAACCAAGUCCAAUAUGGAAUCAUGUUGAAAAAAUUAAAAAUAAAGAUUUAUUUAAAUGUCUACAUUGCAAAAAAGAAUAUAAAGCAUGUGGAAACACUACGAACAUGCUGAAACAUUUGAAGACUCAACAUCCAUUAUUUUUUCAAAUUUCUCCAAAAAGUACAAAUUCAUGUAAUAGCAAAAUCAAGAAAGCAGCAGUAAAAAGAUCAUUUCAAGAAGUCAACAAUACCGAGUCAACUCAAUUAAACCCACCAAAGAAACAAUGCGGUGAUUCAUCUGAUAAUUAUGGAAUAAAAGAAGCAUUCAAACGUGUAGAUUCUUUCAAAGAAGGAGGUUCUAUAUCAGAUAAAAUUACGAUGCAAUUUUAUUUAUGAUAUGCAAAGAUUUACUUCCUAUUUUUACUGUAGAACAUGAAGGGUUUUUAACACUACUUAAGAUUUUGGCACCUCUUUACAAGCCUCCUUCGACCAAAACAAUGACUAAAAGACUUGAAUCUCGACACAAUGUCAUGAAACAAGCUUUUGUUAAAGAACUUCAAGAUGCAGAUCAUUAUUGUUUAACCUGGACAACUGGACUGACUCUUCUAAUAAAAGCUAUUUAGGAGUAACAAUUCAUUACCUACAAAAGUCUUCUAAAAUGAAAAGUGGAUGUCUUGGAUGCUUUCCACUUCAUGAGCAUCAUACAGCUGAGUACCUUAAACAAUCAUUGCAACAAUUAUUCGAAGAAUUUAAUAUCACAACGGAAAAACUUACAGCUAUAAUAUCGGAUGGCGAGGCAGCUAUUAAAAAAGCUUGCACUGAAAUAGUUGGAAAAGAUAAACAUAUUGUUUGUAUUGCUCAAGUUGUAGCUCACCUUCUUCCCGACGCACUAACUAAGUUUCCAGAAUUAACUAGUAUCAUUGAGCAAAUAAAAUCCAUAGUGACACUUAUCAGAAGAAGUAUUCCAGCAUCAGAUAAGCUUAGAGAGUUGCAAUUAAAAGCAGGAAAGAGUGAAGGAACUGCACUUAGCCUUAUACAAGACGUUCCCAUUCGAUGGACAACAAAAGUUGACGCGAUUGAAAGGUAUAUGGAACCAUAUAUUUAUGCAGCCAUGUCUGAAUGUGCAAAUCCUAUUGACGUCUUAAAUAGAGAACAGAUAAAAAUUCUUAAUGAUAUAUUCCCAUUAAUGAAGCCUAUAAGAGAUGUUAUAAAAGAGAUAAGUGGAGACUCGUAUCCUACCUGCAGCAUAAUUAUUCCCAUCAUUCACUGUAUGAGAAAAAAAAUAGAUGACGUCAAUCUUCAAACAGAAAUUGGGAAGAAUUGUAAAAUAAAGAUUCAGGCUGCUAUAUCACAAAGAUUUAAAAACUUUGAGCAUGUUCCGCUAUUAUCAAUGGCAACUAUAUUAGAGCCUCGAUUUUAAAAAGUCCAUUUCAAAGAUGUAUUAGCUGUUUAUCCUGCUAUAAGCCGAAUCAACGCUAAGCUUAAAGAUUUUAAGCCAAAAACUCCUGAACAUCUACUUGAAUCUUAAACAGAAAAAUUGGAGAGUAUAUGGGAUUUCCAUGACACGUUAGAACUGAAACAAAAAUCUAUUUCUAAUGCAUCAAAGAAUCUAGAACUUGAGCAGUACCUACAACUAGAAAGGAUCCCGAGGAAGGACGACAUUUUUAUGUACUGGAAGAGUGUGGAAACAACUUUUCCUUCACUUAGCAAACUAGCUUUAAGACAUUUGUCAGUAAUUGGAACAUCCGUUCCCUGCAAACGCUUAUUCUCAAAAGCAGGAUUGAUUAAGCGUGAUAAUCGGAACAGAUUAACUAGCAGGCACCUGAAUAUAUUCUCAAUAGAAAUGGAAAUCAGGUGUUCUAAAGUAAAUAAAAAUAAUUUGAAGCGUACAUAAAACAUAAGAUUUUUUUUACACAUACAUGUAUACAUACACUACACAGUUUU